rnacentral:rRNA from 1 species
GAUGAACGCUAGCGACAGGCUUAACACAUGCAAGUCGAGGGGUAACAGGGUAGCAAUACCGCUGACGACCGGCGCACGGGUGAGUAACGCGUAUGCAACCUGCCUAUAACUGGGGAAUAGCUCCCUGAAAGGGGAAUUAACACCGCAUAAUACUAUUGAUUCGCAUGGAUUAGUAGUUAAAUGUAGCGAUACAGGUUAUAGAUGGGCAUGCGUGACAUUAGCUAGUUGGUGAGGUAACGGCUCACCAAGGCUACGAUGUCUAGGGGUUCUGAGAGGAAGGUCCCCCACACUGGUACUGAGACACGGACCAGACUCCUACGGGAGGCAGCAGUGAGGAAUAUUGGUCAAUGGGCGCAAGCCUGAACCAGCCAUGUCGCGUGCAGGAAGACUGCCCUAUGGGUUGUAAACUGCUUUUAUAGUAGAAGAAACACAUCUACGCGUAGAUGUCUGCCAGUAUACUAUGAAUAAGCAUCGG